rnacentral:lncRNA from 1 species
GUGCCAUGUCCAUGUUGUGUUUGUAUUGCCUCAAGAAGGCCUCACCCAGAUCUCUCCAGCAUCGGAUCGAAUCUCUCUUCAAUUCCAUGUACCAGUCCAAAGAAGCCCCAGAUAGACUAUCUUGGAAAAAAUACAUCCACAUCUUUUCAUCAUCGGUAUACGCAGAGAUCUUUCGAUAAUAAGCCUGCACAUGGGUGCGAGGGCAAGAAGUACCGUUGUAUUUGUCGAAGGACGGUGCUUUGAACUUGUGAGGGAUUCUCAAACCUUCAACCAACCCCAUAUUAGUAACAUCAAAACCGAGAGAAUUCUGACUUUCCAUAGCACGGAUCUUCUCAGCAAGAGCUUCAAC